AGAGUUUGAUCAUGGCUCAGAUUGAACGCUGGCGGCAGGCCUAACACAUGCAAGUCGAGCGGUAGCACAGAGAGCUUGCUCUCGGGUGACGAGCGGCGGACGGGUGAGUAAUGUCUGGGAAACUGCCUGAUGGAGGGGGAUAACUACUGGAAACGGUAGCUAAUACCGCAUAAUGUCGCAAGACCAAAGUGGGGGACCUUCGGGCCUCAUGCCAUCAGAUGUGCCCAGAUGGGAUUAGCUAGUAGGUGGGGUAAUGGCUCACCUAGGCGACGAUCCCUAGCUGGUCUGAGAGGAUGACCAGCCACACUGGAACUGAGACACGGUCCAGACUCCUACGGGAGGCAGCAGUGGGGAAUAUUGCACAAUGGGCGCAAGCCUGAUGCAGCCAUGCCGCGUGUGUGAAGAAGGCCUUCGGGUUGUAAAGCACUUUCAGCGGGGAGGAAGGCGGUGAGGUUAAUAACCUCAGCGAUUGACGUUACCCGCAGAAGAAGCACCGGCUAACUCCGUGCCAGCAGCCGCGGUAAUACGGAGGGUGCAAGCGUUAAUCGGAAUUACUGGGCGUAAAGCGCACGCAGGCGGUCUGUCAAGUCGGAUGUGAAAUCCCCGGGCUCAACCUGGGAACUGCAUUCGAAACUGGCAGGCUAGAGUCUUGUAGAGGGGGGUAGAAUUCCAGGUGUAGCGGUGAAAUGCGUAGAGAUCUGGAGGAAUACCGGUGGCGAAGGCGGCCCCCUGGACAAAGACUGACGCUCAGGUGCGAAAGCGUGGGGAGCAAACAGGAUUAGAUACCCUGGUAGUCCACGCCGUAAACGAUGUCGAUUUGGAGGUUGUGCCCUUGAGGCGUGGCUUCCGGAGCUAACGCGUUAAAUCGACCGCCUGGGGAGUACGGCCGCAAGGUUAAAACUCAAAUGAAUUGACGGGGGCCCGCACAAGCGGUGGAGCAUGUGGUUUAAUUCGAUGCAACGCGAAGAACCUUACCUGGUCUUGACAUCCACAGAACUUUCCAGAGAUGGAUUGGUGCCUUCGGGAACUGUGAGACAGGUGCUGCAUGGCUGUCGUCAGCUCGUGUUGUGAAAUGUUGGGUUAAGUCCCGCAACGAGCGCAACCCUUAUCCUUUGUUGCCAGCGGU
rnacentral:rRNA from 1 species